AUGGACUGUAAAGAUUAUACCACACGCUAUAUACUUCGUAUUGCUGUUGAUGACUGCAACUCAGCACCAUGUGGAGAUUUGGAGAACACUUUUGAGUUAUUCUUGAUUGUUCACACCCUGUGUAGCAGUCAGACCCACUCAGCACACAGCAUGGACAUAAAGGUCCCUGCUCAGCUCCAGGGGCUCCUGAUGCUCUGGCUCCCAGGUUUCAGAUGUGACAUCCAGAUGACCCAGUGUCCAUCUUCCCUGUCUGCAUCUCCGGGAGACAGAGUCUCCAUCAAUUGCUGGGCCAGUCAAGACAUUCACUCUAAUUUAGCCUGGUAUCAGCAGAAACCAGGGAAAACUCUCAAGCUCCUGAUCUAUGAAACAUCCAGUUUGGAAUCUAGGAACCCAUCCAUGUUCAGUGGCACUGGAUCUGGAACAGAGUAUUCUCUCACCAUUAACAGCCUGCAGCCUGAAGAUGUUGAAAUUUAUUACUGA